rnacentral:rRNA from 1 species
GACAGAGGUGCCGAGCGUUAGGCGGAAUCACUGGGCUUAAAGCGUGUGUAGGCGGACUUCUAAGUACCUUGUGAAAUCCCACGGCUUAACCGUGGAACUGCUUGGUAUACUGGUUGUCUUGGGCCAUCUAGGGGCUACUGGAACAAACGGUGGAGCGGUGAAGUGCGUAGAUAUCGUUUGGAACGCCAAUGGUGAAAACAAGUAGCUGGGGAUGUGCCGACGCUGAGACACGAAAGCCAGGGGAGCGAACGGG